rnacentral:ncRNA from 1 species
CACAAUGACCGGGCCCCUCUGACGGCUUCCACCCCCGCCAUGUCGGCAUUGUUC